rnacentral:rRNA from 1 species
UACGGAGGGUGCGAGCGUUGUCCGGAAUCACUGGGCGUAAAGGGCGCGUAGGUGGCGCGACAAGUCAACGGUGAAAGCUCGGCGCUCAACGCCGAGUCGGCCGUCGAUACUGUUGGGCUUGAGCACUGUAGAGGCUAAUGGAAUUCCGGGUGUAGCGGUGGAAUGCGUAGAGAUUCGGAAAGAACACCGGUGGCGAAGGCGGUUAGCUGGGCAGUUGCUGACACU